GACGAACGCUGGCGGCGUGCUUAACACAUGCAAGUCGAACGGAAAGGCCCUGCUUUUGUGGGGUGCUCGAGUGGCGAACGGGUGAGUAACACGUGAGUAUCCUGCCCUUGACUUUGGGAUAACUUCAGGAAACUGGGGCUACUACCGGAUAGGAGCUCCUGCUGCAUGGUGGGGGUUGGAAAGUUUCGGCGGUGGGGGCUGGACUCGGGGUUUACUAGCUGGUUGGUGGGGUAGUGGCUUACCAGGCCUUUGGAGGGUAGCCGGCCUGGGAGGGUGACCAGCCACAUUGGGACUAAGGGAGGGACCAGACUGCAACAGUAGGCAGCAGUGGGGAGUAUUGCACAAUGGGCGGAAGCGUGAGGCGACAGCGCCGCGUGCGGAAUGACGUCCUUCGGGUUAUAAACCGCUGUCGCCUGAGACGAAGCGGGAGUGACGGUAAUGAGUAAAGAAGCACCGGCUAACUACGUG
rnacentral:rRNA from 1 species